rnacentral:misc_RNA from 1 species
AUAAUAAUAAUAAUAAUAAUAAGAGGCACAUUUGGUUCACUUUGAAAAUGGGAAUGGAAAUGAUUCUCGCCUAUUCCAAGAUUCUUGUAACAAUUUCACGUGUUAGAUAAACAAAUAUAAUUUGAUGGAACUAUAAACACGUACAGCCAUUAGUCCACACACCAUUGCUAAUUGCCUAUGACAAGCACAACUUACCCUUCUCUUUUUGUCAUGAAGUCCAUGAAUCCAUGUAGAUACCAAUAUUUUAGUCUUAUUUAUUAAAAAAAAAUCCAUCAGAUUUGUGAUGUCAUUACUAAACAACAGAAAAAACAAGUUAUUAUUCCAGAAAAUGUUUUUCCAAUAAAAUAUUUUCCACAGAGUAACAGAGCCUAAAUUUGAUGAUGUUUUCCCCUAAAUUCAAGGUAUUCACAUAAAAAAUAUUACUAGAAAAUUGGAAUUCUUGUGUAUCAAACAAGAAAAUGGAAUCCCACUCCAGAAAUUGCAUUCCAUUUCAAAUAUUUUUAAAUUUAAAAUGCUUAAAAGAACUUCAUAUUACUUCCAACACUGAUAUUGAAAGCUCCAAGGACAACUGCCUUAAAAAUAUUGAAGAUUUUUCCAUUGUCUUAUUCACUAGGAAAGCCACAAAGGGAAGGAGGCAGACUCAGAACAAUUCUUGCAACACUAAGGUGCAAACUAGGCCCAAUAGCUAUAAUUUCAAUUUCUUGACUACAAUUGGUACAAAAACAAACGGCAAUACACAAUUAAACAUCACCAAAAGAGAGUUCCGGUAUGAUGACUUCAACACCAACUAAGUAGAAAGCCAGCCUAGGGCUUGAGACUUAACUGUACGUCUAAUCACUGACUGAUGUCUUCGCUGACAUUCAAAAGCCAUGAAGAAAGACACAGAAGGAAGAAGCAUUAAAAAACUAUAGAUGGCUUGCAAGAUUGAGAGU